rnacentral:lncRNA from 1 species
ACUGAGAGCCCCCGUCAGGCUCGAAUGGGGGUGGUUCUUAAAGAGAGAGGACCGGGGUCGUCGUCUUUUCAGUCCAUUCUCCUUGAAUAGGGUGGACAUCUGAGGCUUUGCGACUCGAAGCUAGGCACUUGGGCCCGACGCGCGGUUUGAACGGUGCUUGAGAAGCCGCGAAGAAGCGCCUCGCGCUCAGCGGCUUCUUCGCUGACGAAGUGCUGCGGUCUGCGUGCGUCAUGGCUGCACGGAAUAGUGUGGAGGAGUCCUGGCCAGUAGGUCUGGAUGAGGAACCUGCCUCCGGGCGGUCCGGGACCCUCACCUGCAGGGGCGAAAGAGGCCUGUUUUCUCUCGCCCCAGAGCUAGGACGGGCUCACUUUGGACUUAGAACUUUAUGGGGUGGAAGACAGCGGGGGCUGCCUGAGCUUGGAGACCUGAGGUAUCUGGUCCCAUGUAUGAUUUGGCCUGAGCCGUUGAGAAUGGGGGUGGAGAGAGUUGAAACAAAAUGGGCAUCCACAUACGGUUAGAACUUUAUCUUUUUGAGUUAGGAUUUUUAGGUGGCUACUUUGUCCCCCCUCACCUCGUCUGGGUUCAAAUAUUGAGCCCAGACCGUGUGCUGGACCCUGUUUUCCUGGGGAUACAGAGGUGAACCAAACAGAUGACAGUACUUACCCUUAUGGAGCUUAUAGUCGAUUGGGUUUUUAAGUUUGUGAUUUUAUACUUUUUGUAAUAAAAUAAUUACACAAAUGCUUAAGUACUUCAGGGUGCUCUGAGAGUGUAUGGCGGGGACCCAGCUCUGAAAUGAGACCCAAAGGAUGAUUAAGAGUUUGUCAGGAGGAAACAGAAUACAGUUGAGAACUACAGAAACGCCAGUGUGCUGGCACAAGGUCAGGGACGGGGAGAGUGGUUUGAGGGAGCAGCAGGGGAAGAGGUCAUGUAGGGUCUUUUAAGCCAGAUUCAGAAGUUUGGUUUCUUUCAAGAACAGUGGGUAGUUUAAAGGGUUUAGAGCCCUGGUGUGGACUGGAGAGAGUACAGGAGAAGCCCAGAGACCAUUUUGGCUGCUUCAUUAUCAUGUGAGAGAUGAUUUUCGCUUACAUUAGGGUGGUGACAGUGCAGAUAGAAGUGAAUGAAGGGCCUGGUGCAGUGGCCCACGGCUGUAAUCCCAGCACUUUGGGAGGCCAAAGGGGAGGAUCGCUUGAGCCCAGGAGUUUGCGAGCAGCCUGGGCAACAUGGCAAGAUUCCGUCUCUACAAAAUUACAAAAUAUUAGCCUGGUGUGGUGGCCCGCGCCUGUAGUCCCAGCUGCUUGGGAGGCUGAGGUGGGAGAAACCCUUGAGCCGAGGAAUUCGAGGCUGCAGUGAGCUGAGAUCACACCACUACACUCCAGCCUGGGUGACAGAGCGAGACCUUGUCUCGAGGAAAAAAAAAAAGUGAAUAGGACUGGAUGAUGGAUUGGUUGAGGAAAACCAAGAAUGGUUCCCAGAGUACUGAAGUGGUGACAUUUACUGAGGUGGGAAAGGUGAGGAGUAGGUGUUGGGGGAUGAUUGAGAAUUUCAUCUUGGGCCUGUUAAGUUUGAGAUUGCUUAUGAGACAUGUAAGUAGGGAUGUCCGUCAUGCGCUUUCAUUUGUAUGGUUUUUGAAUACUUUUUGCAUGUGUUAUAAACUGUGUCCACACUUUGAAGAUGGGGGUAUGACCUCCAUUUCAUACAUGGGGAAACUGAGGCAAAGAAAAGUGAAAGGGAUCUGCUCAGAGUCCACAGCUAGUUUAUGGCUUCCCGACUCCAUUUUUGGAGUCCAGUGUAUUAUACAGUGACCCCAUUACCUGUAUUUUCAUAGGGUGGGGACACGGUCAUACUUCUGUCCCCCAGGAAAUGAAUCUCAGGUUGGAACCUCUUCUUUGGGUUCCAUUUUGUAGUUUUUGGCAUAUGUUUAUUUGUUAUAUAAUAUUGUACUCCUGCUGUGUGUGUGUCAUUCACUGUGUUUAGUAGUGAACGGAGGGGUCUUCUUAGUCAUAAACACUGCUUACUGACUAGGAAUCAACUGUGUCCAAGGUUUUCCUUCAUUCCUCUUGCCCUGGUUCCUCCUUUCUAUAUUAGAUUGCCCUACUCUACCCUUCCUGUUCUUUUUUUUUUUUUUUUUAAAGACGGAGUCUCCCUUUGUCGCCCAGGUUGGAGUGCAGUGGCACGAUCUUGGCUCACUGCAACCUCCACAUCCCGGGUUCAAGCGAUUCUUCUGCGGCAGCCUCCUGAGUAGCUGGGACUACAGGCGGGUGCCACCAUGCCCAGCUAAUUUUUUGUAUUUUUAUUAGAGUCGGGGUUUCACCGUGUUAGCCAGGAUGGUCUCGAUCUCCUGACCUCGUGAUCUGCCUGCCUCGGCCUCCCAAAGUGCUGGGAUUACAGGCGUGAACCACCAUGCCGGGCCAGUUUUUGUAUUUUUUAUUUUUUAUUUUUUUUUUAGCAGAGACAGGGUUUCACCAUGUUGGCCAGGCUGAUCUUGAAUUCCUGACCUCAGGUGAUCCACCUGCCUCCGCUUCCCAAAGUGCUGGGAUUACAUGCGUGAGCCACCACACCUGGCCUCCUCUUCCUUUUGAUGUUUGUGUUUACAGCAUUGCUUCAGGUCCAUGCUUGAAGGCUUUCUUCUGUGUGAUUCAGGCUGAAGUAAGCAUGACGACAUCCCAAGUAGGAUUGCUGUUUUCAGCCUCUGAAUUCUUAAAACUUAUUUCUUAGACAAUUGCAGGCCCAGGUAGCCCCAAAAGCUCCUUGCCUAGUUGCUGCAAAUUCACCAUCUCUGCAUUUAGAAUUAGAAAUCAGUGCAUUAGAGGCAAAGGCUGGGAUAACUAUCUACGUGAAGAGGUUUGGGAUGUAUGAAGCACGGAUGGUAGUGCCUGCAUCAAGGCUUUUUAAAUGGGACCAUGACGAUUCAUUGUUGAGGAAUGUUCUGUGAUAUAAAAGUGAUACAGAUUUUUCAAACUGCUAAAUGGUGAGAACAAAAUAUAUAACCUCUCUAGGCACACAGAUUCUCUGAAAAAUAAAGGAAUUGUUCUUUAUGAUCUCAGAACUUCCUCCUCAGCUCAAACAUUAUGUAACAAAGUUAAAUAUUGGGAUAUAGGUGAUGUUCCUACCUAAUUAGGUGGGAGUAGGCAAGUAAGUUUUUGUUUCAUUUUCUUUUUUUUUUUUGAGGCAGGGUCUCACUGUUGCCCAGGCUGGAGUACAGUGGUACGAUAAUAACUCACUGCAACCUUGACCCCAGGACUUAAGCGAUCCUUCCACCUCAGCCUCCCUAGUAGCUGGGACCACAGGCGUGGGCCAUGAUGCCUGGCUAAUUUUUGUAUUUUUAGUAGAGAUGGGGGUUUCACCAUGUUGCCCAGGCUGAUCUCGAACUCCUGACCCCACGUGACCCACCUGCCUCAGCCUCCCUAGUAGCUGGGACCACAGGCGCAGGCCAUGAUGCCUGGCUAAUUUUUGUAUGUUUAGUAGAGAUAGGGGUUUCACCAUGUUGCCCAGGCUGAUCUCGAACUCCUGACCUCACGUGACCCACCUGCCUCAGCCUCCCAAAGUGUUGGGAUUACAGGCCUGUUAUAAGUUUUGAUGUUGAAAGCACAAAUAAGUCUUUGUGCUUAGAGAGAACUGGUCUCUACAAAAACAAGAAAAAAAAAUCAGCCAGGCACAGCAGCAUGUGCCCCUAGUGCCAGCUACUGAGGAGGCUGAGGCAGGAAGAUCACCGGAGCCCAGGAGUUUGAGGUUACAGUGAGCUGUGAUCACUGCACUCCAGCCUGGGUAACAGAGCAAGACCCUUUCUCAAAAAAAAAAAAAAAAAAAAGCUACAGAAUGAGGUUAUUUGUCACUAAUGUGAAGAUAAGUUUAAGAGUAACGAAGAUAGACCACACACAGUGACUGAUGCCUGUAAUCCUAGGACCUUGGGAGGCCGAAGCAGGAGGAUUGCUUGAACUCAGGAGUUGGAGUACAGCCUGAGCAACCUAGUGAGACCUCAUCUAUACUACAAAUUAAAAAAAAAUUUAGCUGGGCAUGGUGGUGCACACCUAAGUCGUCCCUAGUAGUAGUCCCUAGCUACUCAGGAGGAUCACUGGAGUUCAGGAAAAAAAAAAAAAAGAGUAGCCAAGAUGAAGGCAGGGAAGGGAUGGUUGUGGUAAGAUUUGCUAAAGGGCUGCCUUUGACUCUUCUGGAAGUCAGUGUGCUUGUUAGAGGAAAGUUUUCUCUUUUUUUUUUUUUUUUGAUACGUAGUCUCGCUCUGUCACCCAGGCUAGAGUCAGUGGCGCAAUCUCAGUUAACUGCAACCUCCGCCUCCCGGGUUCAAGGGAGUGAUUCUCCUGCCUCAGCCUCCUGAAUCGCUAGGACUACAGGCGUGCACCACCAUGCCCGGCUAAUUUUUGUAUUUUUAGUAGAGACGGGGUUUCACCAUAUUGGCCAGGCUGGUCUUGAACUCCUGACCUUGUGAUCCACCUGCCUCAGCCUCCCAAAGUGCUGGGAUUACAGGUGUGAGCCACUGCGUCCGGCCAGGAUAUCUUAUAAGUUAAAGUAAAUGAAGACCUAAGCUGUAGUAGUACAACAUAAAAUAAGAUUUAAGGUUUUUAUAAAUUGACCUAGGACAAGUUGUUUAUGGAGUGCAGUGUGUGUGAAAGGGACUUGGAAUGGGCAAGUGUAAGAUAUCCUUUGUUCCCCUGUGGACACCUAGUGGUGAAAUGUAAUUCUUCAGUUGAAGAGGGGACUGCAGCUAAGGAAUGACAGUUUCCUCUCUAGAGGAUCAGACAUCUCUACAUGAAUUUGUAGUGUUGUUAAAUUAAGCACACACUGGCCAUUAAUGCUUUACUGUGUAAUGAUUUCCUCCUUUAAGAAAAUAAGGCCCACGGAGAACUAAAAGUUAAUGUUUUUCUCAUUCUCUCAGUGUAAAAAAAGGUGUGUGUGUGUGUGUGUGUGUGUGUGUGUGUGUGUGUGUGAGUGAGUGACAGAAUACCUGUUCUAGGGAGAGCUCAUUAGCUGGGGUCUAUCUCUAGCAUAUAAGAGAGUAUUUAUAGGGAGAGCCUGAAUCCUGCCCUUGGCCCACCUGAAGAGGCAAGUGUUUAAUGUUGCCAGUUGCCAGUGGUGCCUUGUUUGACUCAAUAGAGACACUUGUAGAAUAGCUAGACAAAUGUUAAUCUUUUAGUUCAAUUCCAUAAAUAUUUAUUGCAUGCCACUUUUUUGGUCCAGCACUGGGACAAGUGCUGAAAAUUUUUAGAUGUAAUUCAGUCCUUAUAUUUAUGGUCUUUUGUGGGGGUGCAGGGGAGACAUAGGGUUGUUAAACAAGUAAGAUAACAGAUAAAAUAAAUAGUUGUUUCUUGGACUGAAGCAGAAAUGAACAAGGUGAGCCUGGAACAUCUUGUUAUAUCAGUAAGCAAAGAAAGUAACAUGGACUACUGGGGUUUUGUCAAAACGACUUAAGGGCCAACAGGAAGAGGCUCUCAGGCCAAGGUUAGAACAAUUUGAGUAUCACUAAGAAAGGUUGCAAUGAAGUGAAACAUAAAAAGUCGAAAUCCAUGAGUUCAUGAUGACACCCAAGAAACCUAAUUUCCCCACUUUUGAUUAUGGAAUUAAUUCUGAAAACUAGUAAAUUAAGGAAAAGAGCUAAACAUUUAACUGGUCUUCCCUUAUAUGUAGGUACAUUGCAGUGUAACUUGGUACUUGUUAAAAGGGGAAUUUUCUCACUAUAGAGGUAUUCCAAUAAAAAUGAAAAGACAGAAGUAAAAUAAUAUACCUUUAAUCAAAUUAGAGAUCUAGGUAAUGAUCAUCAGUGGCUACUAACAUGACAAAAGAGCCAACCGAAAUUAUGUUUGGAAUUCAUAUAAUAUUUUAAAUUCUGAUGGAAAUACACAUCACCUGUUGUAGAAAAAUGAAACAGGCUGGGCGAAAGGCUCAUGCUUGUAAUCCCAGUGCUUUGGGAGGCCAAGGUGGGAAGAUCACUUGGCUCAAGGAGUUUGAGACCAGCCCGAACAAUAUACUUAGCAAGAGUGCCAUUUCUACAAAAAUCAUUUUAAAUUAGCUGUGUGUGUGGUGGCGAGCACCUGUAUGUAGUCCUAGCUGCUUGGGAGGGUGAGGCAGGAGGAUUGCUUGAGCUCAGGAGUUUGAGGUUACAGUGAGCUAUGAUAGCACCACCCACUCCAGCCUGGGGAACAGAGUGAGAUCCUAUGUCAAAAAAACUGAACUUGAAUUGGAUUAAAUGGGACGAAGGAAUACAUUAAAUUACAUCACAGGGAAGCAAUUAGUAAAAUCUAGAAUGUAGGAGACGCUACGGGACCAGUGGUCCAGUUUCUAAAAUAAAUUGCAAAGGGGAAAAAAGGCAGGGAAGCCUAAAUUGAAAGGAACUUGGACAUGUCAAACUAUGUGGGUGUGACGCUUGGUUCCUGACUCAGAUCAACUUUAAAGUUAUGAGACUAUUGGGAAAAGCAUAUUCUUGUUUGCUAUAAAGAUGUUAAAAGGUGUGAAAAUUAUAUAUAUAUAUAUAUUUAUUAUUAUUAUUAUUUUGUUUUGUUUGAGACGGAGUCUCGCACUCUUGCCCAGGCUGGAGUGCAGUGGCGCGAUCUCAACUCAAUGCAAGCUCCG